rnacentral:rRNA from 1 species
UGUGCCAGCAGCCGCGGUAAUACGGAGGGUGCAAGCGUUAAUCGGAAUUACUGGGCGUAAAGCGCACGCAGGCGGUUGGAUAAGUUAGAUGUGAAAGCCCCGGGCUCAACCUGGGAAUUGCAUUUAAAACUGCCCAGCUAGAGUCUUGUAGAGGGGGGUAGAAUUCCAGGUGUAGCGGUGAAAUGCGUAGAGAUCUGGAGGAAUACCGGUGGCGAAGGCGGCCCCCUGGACAAAGACUGACGCUCAGGUGCGAAAGCGUGGGGAGCAAACAGGAUUAGAAACCCCGGUAGUCCA